GGCGGGGAGGGAAAGAACCAACAGGGUAUUGCCCUAGUAACGGCGAGUGAAGCGGCAACAGCUCAAAUUUGAAAUCUGGCUCUCGGGCCCGAGUUGUAAUUUGUAGAGGAUACUUUUGAUGCGGUGCCUUCCGAGUUCCCUGGAACGGGACGCCAUAGAGGGUGAGAGCCCCGUCUGGUUGGAUGCCAAAUCUCUGUAAAGUUCCUUCAACGAGUCGAGUAGUUUGGGAAUGCUGCUCUAAAUGGGAGGUAUAUGUCUUCUAAAGCUAAAUACCGGCCAGAGACCGAUAGCGCACAAGUAGAGUGAUCGAAAGAUGAAAAGCACUUUGAAAAGAGAGUUAAAAAGUACGUGAAAUUGUUGAAAGGGAAGCGUUUAUGACCAGACUUGGGCUUGGUUAAUCAUCUGGGGUUCUCCCCAGUGCACUUUUCCAGUCCAGGCCAGCAUCAGUUUUCCCCGGGGGAUAAAGGCGGCGGGAAUGUGGCUCUCUUCGGGGAGUGUUAUAGCCCACCGUGUAAUACCCUGGUGGGGGACUGAGGUUCGCGCAUCUGCAAGGAUGCUGGCGUAAUGGUCAUCAACGACCCGUCUUGAAACACGGACCAAGGAGUCGUCUUCGUAUGCGAGUGUUCGGGUGUCAAACCCCCUACGCGUAAUGAAAGUGAACGCAGGUGAGAGCUUCGGCGCAUCAUCGACCGAUCCUGAUGUUUCUCGGAUGGAUUUGAGUAAGAGCAUACGGGGGCCGGACCCGAAAGAAGGUGAACUAUGCCCUGUAGUAGGGUGAAGCCAGAGGAUACUCUGGGUGUAGGGCUCGCAGCGGCUUCUGACGUGCCAAUCGAUCGUUCCAAAUAUGGGCAUGGGGGGCGAACGGAACGUAUCCGCUGCAUCUAGCUAGCGUGUUCCGUCCGAGUACCCCUGCAGGUAAGA
rnacentral:rRNA from 1 species